CUCGACCAACAGUUGGAGCAUCCGCAGCAUCUUGUACUAUCAGAGCAGCCUUUGACAGAUAUUUGAGCCUUACAGAGAUGGAGGACCACACGCAGGAGAGGACUCAAUUGAAUAAAGAGACACAAGAAGAGGUGCAAAAGAUGUUGAAAGCCAUGGAACUAUAUUUUUUCCUGUACCAGGAUGAAAUAAGAGAAUCUGGAUUGAACAUCGCCGACUACUAUAUACUCAUAUGUGGACUUUGCUGGGCCAAUAAUAUUUUGUGAUGACUUCCUUCUUUCCAAAAAUUAUGCUGGGAAACAAACAAACAAACAUAAUAUUCAUGUGAAAUUGAAAAAUAAACUAUUUUGAGAAUG